AACGAACGCUGGCGGCAGGCUUAACACAUGCAAGUCGAGCGCCCCGCAAGGGGAGCGGCAGACGGGUGAGUAACGCGUGGGAAUCUACCCAACUCUACGGAAUAACGCAUGGAAACGUGUGCUAAUACCGUAUACGUCCUCCUGGAGAAAGAUUUAUCGGAGAUGGAUGAGCCCGCGUUGGAUUAGCUAGUUGGUGGGGUAAAGGCCUACCAAGGCGACGAUCCAUAGCUGGUCUGAGAGGAUGAUCAGCCACACUGGGACUGAGACACGGCCCAGACUCCUACGGGAGGCAGCAGUGGGGAAUAUUGGACAAUGGGCGAAAGCCUGAUCCAGCCAUGCCGCGUGAGUGAUGAAGGCCCUAGGGUUGUAAAGCUCUUUCACCGGUGAAGAUAAUGACGGUAACCGGAGAAGAAGCCCCGGCUAACUUCGUGCCAGCCGCCGCCGUAAUAC
rnacentral:rRNA from 1 species